CAGAUGGUUCACUCCGAUCGAGGGCCAUAGACCUACCAUUGUUCACAAGCACAGCCUCGAUAUACUCCACGAUCCUUGGUUUAAUAAGGGAACAACAUUUUCCAUGACGGAACGAGAUCGUCUCGAUCUUCGGGGGACUUCUUCCUCCAAAUGUCAUGUCUUCAGAACAACAAAUUGAACGCUUCAUGGUUGACCUGAAGAGGCUUGAAGUGGCCAUCUGAUCCAAAUGCAUUGGCUAAGUGGCGAAUACUUAAUCGGUUGCAUGAUCGGAAUUAGACAAUGGACUAUAAGGUGUGUGCCUUCUGUCUGUAUUAGUUUUGGAUAAUCUACCCUCUCUCAGAUGACACGACAUUUCUCCAGUCUUAUUCGCGCACGGCGCAAGCAAAAAUUAAACCUAACUGCUAGUUACAGUUCAACAAUAAAAGCUUCCCUCAGUUAUUAGACGUAUGGCGUGGAGUAUGAAUCUGUCUCAUCUUUCAGUUAUCUUCUACCUAUGGUUUUUUUUUUUUCUGAAUGAAAAGUAAAAUGUAUGAAAGGGCACCCAAGGGGUGCACUGCAAGUCUGCAACCCAUGUAAUCAUUUUCAAGGUCUGAGUUAAGAUACGCCAUGCUAAACUUGAAGGUUUGAUAUCGAGUUAAGGUGCACAUAUAGAUAGAUAGUCUUUUAUGUUUGUGGUUGUCAUAUUAAACACCAUGGCGAUGCCUAAUUGUAUGACUGAUGAAUUUGUACUUAUUUGAACUGCUGAAGCAAUGCCUUCCUUUAUUGGGACU